rnacentral:misc_RNA from 1 species
AGAAGUGCAAACAUUUUAUUGCCUACCAACAUGUAUCUGGUUUUUAAUUUGUAACAACAACUUUAAACAACAACCAUAUAUCGGCUUUGUUGCUAAAGCGUAUUACACUGGGGUCUAAAUUGAAAUGUGUGCAAAUAUUUACUUUUGAUUAAAUGAAAGUACAUUAAACCUUAUCCAUGAAAAUAAAUCCAAUGUAAUUCUGCAUAAAAGUAUAUCCUGGGCAAUUAAAAAAUCCGCGUCACCUUUCUAAAAGCAUUUCUGUUGCAAAAAGGGUUUAUUUUGUAAAACGAGGUACGUUAAUGAAUGAUAAAAACACUCUC